rnacentral:misc_RNA from 1 species
GGCACCCGCAGACAGUCUUCAAUGCCACCAUGACGCAGUCUGGCAACAGAUACCUAGAUGUCGCCACAUACACGUGUAUAGAGAACCACGCCUUCCAGGAUGGAACGACAACGAAGAAGGCGUCUUGCUUGAGUAGCGGGCAGUGGGAUAACAGCGUCCCAUCUGCCUGCAUUCGUCCCCAGUGCCCGACGGUGUCCAGCAGCCUUUCUUACACCACGGUCAACUCGAGUGACCACGGUGCGGGGGCGGCGGUGAGGUACGAGUGCUCUCAAAACGCCACCUUCAGUGACGGCAGCUCGGUGAGGACACGCCGUUGCCUCGUGUCCGGACACUGGGACAGCACGGAGGAGGCGUGUGGUAAGGGUUACCGUGAGAUAACACCGCACCAGUUUGGUGGGUGGGCUAAGCUGUGUUGACAUAUUAAUUUUAUAAUUAAAGUCGAUAAAAUUCGUCACAAACCGAUUCUUCGGGCGGCCUGAGGCAGGUAAGAUCAUAUGAUCACAUGGCAUAUCAAAUCAACCCGUGCAAAUAAACGGCAGUUCUGACUAUAAUCAGAUCAGGUAUAUAUUUUUUAAGUUGUGUUUUUAACUCAAUUAUUAACUAUAAAAUAUCAUAACGACGUUUAUAAAUCAUAUGAGGUAUUCAUUCAAUCUCACCAUCAUCAAAUUACUUAACAAGAUCGUGGGCCACGAACAACAAAAAAGGUAGGUAAAUUUUCUAAAUCCAUAGAACUCAAUCUCUUUGUUUAAAGUUUACAUUUUACUUUACUGUCUUUUUUCUUUUUCUUUAUUCAUGUCUUUUACGCUUUAGAGGUUUUUCUUCCUGCUUUUUUAUGUGUGGAUGUUUAUAUAGCUACACUUACUCGCUACAAAUCGGUGAGAUGGGAUGAAAGGAAGAGGUGUGUGUGUGUGUGUGUGUGUCUGUGUGAGAGAGUGGGAGAGAGAGAAAGAGAAUUAACUUGGAUUGUGCGGUGUUGUGCAUCAGAAAAACGUGGUUGUUUGAUAGAUGUGCCUAACUUGAAAGAAACUGAAAGUUGAUGUAAUAGUUGUUGAUAAUAACCAUCGACUUCAAGCCAGGAAAGAUCCGUAGCAGCUCAAGCAUGUAGAAGUAGCAAUUUUCGGUGAAAAAAAUAACAAAUCCAGGAAAGGGGGCACACCAAGAAAUUCGGAGGUGACUUAUACGGGCUCGAAGCGACAUUAUCUUGCAGCCUCA